rnacentral:rRNA from 1 species
GAUGAACGCUGGCGGCGUGCCUAACACAUGCAAGUCGAGCGAUCUUCUUCGGAAGAGAGCGGCGGACGGGUGAGUAACGCGUGGGUAACCUGCCUCAUACACAUGGAUAACAUACCGAAAGGUAUGCUAAUACAAGAUGAUAUAAGAGAUUCGCAUGGAUUUCUUAUCAAAGCUCCGGCGGUAUGAGAUGGACCCGCGUCUGAUUAGCUAGUUGGUAAGGUAACGGCUUACCAAGGCGACGAUCAGUAGCCGACCUGAGAGGGUGAUCGGCCACAUUGGGACUGAGACACGGUCCAAACUCCUACGGGAGGCAGCAGUGGGGAAUAUUGCACAAUGGGUGAAAGCCUGAUGCAGCAACGCCGCGUGAGCGAUGAAGGCCUUCGGGUCGUAAAGCUCUGUCCUCAAAGAAGAUAAUGACGGUACUUGAGGAGGAAGCCCCGGCUAACUACGUGCCAGCCGCCGCCGUAA